rnacentral:rRNA from 1 species
GAAGGAAAUUAAGUACGGAAGUUCCUGAUUUCACGCUGUCAAGAAAAGCCUCUAGGAAGAGUAGUACUGCCCGUACCGCAAACCGACACAGGUAGAUGAGGAGAGAAUCCUAAGGUGAGCGAGAGAACUCUCGUUAAGGAACUCGGCAAAAUGACCCCGUAACUUCGGGAGAAGGGGUGCUCUAUUAGGGUGCAAGCCCGAGAGAGCCGCAGUGAAUAGGCCCAGGCGACUGUUUAGCAAAAACACAGGUCUCUGCAAAACCGUAAGGUGACGUAUAGGGGCUGACGCCUGCCCGGUGCUGGAAGGUUAAGAG